CAAUAGCGUAUAUUAAAGUUGUUGCAGUUAAAAGCUCGUAGUUGGAUUUCGGAACCGGCCGAUUGGUCCGUCCUCUGGAUCGUGUACUGAUCGGUCUGUUCUUCUUCGCGAAGACCGCGUGUGCCCUUAACUGGGUGGGCGCGGGAUUCGCGACGUUUACUUUGAAAAAUUAGAGUGUUCAAAGCAGGCAUUCGCUUGAAUAUCUCAGCAUGGAAUAAUAGAAUAGGACUUUGGUCUUAUUUUGUUGGUUUCCGAGACCGAAGUAAUGAUUAAUAGGGACAGUUGGGGGCAUUCGUAUUUCAUUGUCAGAGGUGAAAUUCUUGGAUUUAUGAAAGACGAACUUCUGCGAAAGCAUUUGCCAAGGAUGUUUUCAUUGAUCAAGAACGAAAGUUAGGGGAUCGAAGACGAUUAGAUACCAU
rnacentral:rRNA from 1 species